GGUCUGUGAAAAGAUACUAAAGAUAAAUUUGCAUAGAGACUCUUUGCAUUGGAAAGACUUGAGGAUUUUUUAUAGACGCAUCAGAAGUUCAUCAUCAGAAAUCUAAACUCACAGUCACCAUGACCUUCAUCAGCAUCUUCAUCUGGAUGUUAACUUGUUUCUGUUUCAGAGAAUCAAGAGGUGAAGUGACCGUCAUUCAGACACCUGCAGUCAAAUCUGUUCAUCUACGAGACACAGUUACUAUCACCUGUAAAACUAACCCUGAAGUCUACCAGAGCUGGAGUUAUCAGCCUUUAUCCUGGUACUUACAGAAACCUGGAAAAGCUCCUAAACUCUUGAUAUAUGCUGCAAACAGCCGUCAGUCGGGAACUCCAUCAAGAUUCAGUGGCAGUGGAUCUAAAACAGAUUUUACUCUGAGCAUCAGUGAAGUUCAGACUGAAGAUGCAGGAGAUUAUUACUGUAUGGGUAGACACUACAUCAACAGUAAAUAUGUGUUCACACAGUGA